AGUAAAUGGGCUGGAGUAGUACACACAAAAAGAACAAUGUGCUGCCUUGAAAAUCUAAAGAGGCCUCCUAUGCAUUGUGCUUCUUUUUUGGCUGUAGGAGGACCAAUCAGAUACAAAAAUCUUAUUUUUCACCUGAGAAGGAAUACUUUGACCUUCCUUUCACCAUUAGACCCUGGGAAUUAGUUGAUACGGAAGGCCUCUCAAUUUUUGCGAAAUAUAUUUCCCACCCUCUGAAACACAAGUGUCCAGAGCAGUUGCUACUUUCUGGUUACCAGGUCCAAUCAGCAUAAUGUCAUCAAUGCAAUGGAACGGACUGAUUUUCUGCAGAAAGGGAAAUCAAUCAAGGUCCCAGUGGACUAAAUGAUGAUAUAAGGCUGAAGAAUGGACGCAUCCUGUGAAUAGCUGUAUACCAAAUACCUGAGGAUGUGUUAAUUUGCCCAAGCGAUGAAACCACCUCUGGAACAGCAGCUAUAAUUAGAAUCAC
rnacentral:lncRNA from 1 species